CUGAUAAGACUCUUUUUAUUUUUUCCACACUCGCAUCCAAGAACAGCAGCCAAAAGUCAGAAUCAAGGCACUGGUCAUCAAUUGAUCUCCCUGCACAUACCAGACUGUCCUGUCCUGAUCCUCUUGUCUAGCUUGCCGGCCCACGGCAUUUCUCAGGCUUUCGGUCUGCUGCAAGCGUUUGAAAGCGCCUGAAAACGAAUGCUGGGAAAGGACACCCUCUUGUACAUCGGGAGAUGAAUAAUGGGACGAACGGUUGUGUUUUCCCUCUGUCGCUUCCGAUGGCGUGGUUCUAAACAUCUCCAGAAUCGGAAAGGCUUUUUACAAAGGUAACUGUUCCCAAGAGUAAAAUAACAAUCGGCCAAAGACACCCCCAUCCCAGUUUACCUGUACAGCUCAUAACAAACCACAUUUAUUGUCACGUUCAUAAAAUUAUACCCAGUGUCUUAAUCUCUGGAUGGGUGAGGGAUUGAGGGGCAGCAGGCACCAGGGGAGCUGAUGGAGCAAGGGGAGGAGACGUGGCAGCAAAGGGAAA